UGUCUGCAGUGAUGGAUAUUUCCCAAUAUUGCACUCUGUAUACAGGAGCAGCCCAGAGAGAGAACAAGAGUACCUCACUACAACUACAUCCCAUGUGCAUGCAAGACAUCUGCCCAGUUCACUCUCCUUUCCCUAUGCACUUAGAGUCCUGUUGUCACGGAGAUGCUGGCUUUACCAAUGCCUUCAUCGAUCAUAAAACAGGAAGAGUAAAGCCUCCCAGUUCCAGAUAUUGUUGAUAAGACGAGAGCACUGAUCUAUCAGACACUGACGGCUGGUACAAGU